GAUGAACGCUGGCGGCGUGCCUAAUACAUGCAAGUCGAGCGAACAGACGAGGAGCUUGCUCCUCUGACGUUAGCGGCGGACGGGUGAGUAACACGUGGAUAACCUACCUAUAAUACUGGGAUAACUUCGGGAAACCGGAGCUAAUACCGGAUAAUAUAUUGAACCGCAUGGUUGAAUAGUGAAAGACGGUUUUGCUGUCACUUAUAGAGGGAUCCGCGCCGUAUUAGCUAGUUGGUAAGGUAACGGCUUACCAAGGCGACGAUGCGUAGCCGACCUGAGAGGGUGAUCGGCCACACUGGAACUGAGACACGGUCCAGACUCCUACGGGAGGCAGCAGUAGGGAAUCUUCCGCAAUGGGCGAAAGCCUGACGGAGCAACGCCGCGUGAGUGAUGAAGGUCUUCGGAUCGUAAAACUCUGUUAUUAGGGAAGAACAAAUGUGUAAGUAACUAUGCACGUCUUGACGGUACCUAAUCAGAAAGCCACGGCUAACUACGUG
rnacentral:rRNA from 1 species